rnacentral:tmRNA from 1 species
CUAAUUGUAGUCGACGAGGCUGCGUGCUAUCCUUCUGAUCUUCUGAGCUUUUAUUGUCGACGAAAUGGGAAAAUCCCCAUAUAAGGUUCGGUACCCGGCGCCUCCACCAAAAACCGGCGGUCUUAAAGGCCGGCUUUUGAUGGGGGCGAAACAGGAUCGACAAGGGUGUAAAGAUCGUCUUUUUGCUCGGCAUUGUACCGCCGUUAUCGGGCUAAAAUUGUAGUUGCAAACGACAACUAUGCGGAAGCUCGUCUCGCUGCUUAAUCGCGGUGUGACACUUCAAUCAAAGUCCUAGUGGUUCGCACCUCUAGGCGGGGUCCGAAGGCACCUGGCAACAGAAGCCUUCACC